AUAUGAGAGGGAAUUGGUUCUUUGCCGAUGAGUUCCCUUCAGUCUCUGGAGGUUGCUCUGAACUUUGUUAGCUCUUCUCUCACUAUCUUUUUCCCUGCCAGGGUCAUAGGAAUAGAAUCCUUUUGUUUCACUGAAACUCUGAAUUUAUAACCUGAUUUUUGUGGACCUGUGGGCUCAAAUGAGAGAGGCCCAAGUCCAAAAAUUUUCUGUUAUAUUUUAUUUAUUUAUUUAUUUGUUUUUUUUUGUUUUUUUUUUGUUUU
rnacentral:lncRNA from 1 species